GGAGGGAGGGAGGCUCGAUCGUCGUCGUCUUCGGAAGCGAGAAGGUGGUGAGGUAGGUAGGUAAGGUCGUCCUCGUGCUCGAGAGAGGGGUGAAGAGGGGCAGGCAGGCAGCGACGACGGAAAAGGGAGGGGGAGGAGACGCGAGGAUCCAAUCCUCAUCCCCGAAAAGUUUCCUCUCUCGUUUUCUCUUUCAGGAACGUAUGGGGUUGUUCCGUUGGGCGACGACGGAAAAAGAGGGAGGGGAGGGGAGGGGAGGGGGGAAGAGAGAGAGGUGGGAGAGACGAAAGAACAAUAGAAGUCGGGUCGGUUGCUCUCGUCUCGUCUCGUCUGGUCUCUCUCCGAUCUCCACCUGGCUUUGUAGCCUGUGGUUCGUCCCUCCUUCCUUUCUGCCGCCCGUACACCCUAGAGUUACUGAGCGGCCGGCGGCUCCGCGGCGGCGACAGGGGGAGGCAGCUGCUGAGGCCGCGGAGGAGGAGCAGGCGGCGGCGCCAGCAGCUCUAUGGGCUGCUGCGGCUGCUGCUGAGGCGGCUCCGGCAGCAGUGCGCGGUCAAGAAGGGGGGCCGGCGGGGCCCGCUCCGGCGGCGGCCCUUGCCGGCGCGGCGCACCGAGGCGGACCGGCCGCGGGGGCGCGGGCGGCACCGGCGUCGUCGGCGGCCUCGUCCUCGUCGUCCUCCGGGGCGCCGACGCCGCCGCCGGUUCUUCUCGGCCGCGCCCGGCGCCAGCGCGUCGAGCGUCAUGGCGCCGCAGUGGAAGAUGGCGGCCUGCCCCGCCACCCUCAGCGUGUAUACCCUAACGCCGUUCGUCCAGAUAGACCCUCCUAAGCUGUGACGAGUACGCCGCCGAGCCCGCAUGCUAGCCCGCCGCUAGUUCAAGGCGCCGUACCUCCGGCUGUAGUUGAAGUCGGACCUCCUAAUGCUGCUGUAGUUCGUCUACCCGUUGGACUGGUUCCUCCUCAAGCAGGUGCACGAGGCCGCCGUCUCGUGCCCCAAGGGGGCCCCCUCGAGGUUCAUGUCCCCGCAGUGCGAGGUGUUCACGCCGUCCACCCUCCGCGCCUACCCGGUCAAGGAGCCGUUCUUCAUGCAGAUGAACCCCGACAAGCUAUGGCUCCUCCUUCGGCGGUCCAGCAUGCUGGCGCGACGGUAGUUCACGUUGCCGUUCCUACGCCACUGUUUGAAGCUAGGGUCGUGGAUGCGGCUCCUCAAGCUCGGUCGCCGGAGCUGCCCGCUGCGCCUCGUCUUGGACCUGGACAGCGACCCCUCGAGCCCCCCCAGGUUGUUCUCCCCGUCGGAGCUGCCGCCGCCGCCGCUGCUGCUCCCGCGCCGCCCCAGGCUGGUCGCGCACGGGUACCGGAAGCUCGAGCUGACCGUCUGCCGCGCCUCGUGGUUCCGGUUCAAGCUGGUCUUGAGCUGCGUAGCGGUCUACGGGGGAGGGCGGGACGUUCGGAGGGUGUACCGGAAGUCGGGGUCCGUCGUGGUUAAGUACCCGUCGCGGCUAGGCCCCUGGCGCCCCCCGGACAGCGACUGCCAGCCGCGGCCGCGGCCGCCCAACCGGCCCGUGACCGGAGGCGUGGUGGUUAUGGUCGGCGGCGGCGGAGGCGUCGUCGUCGUCUCCUACGUGCCGACCCCGUUGCAGCACGGGCCGUCCUCGACCGUCGGCGGAGUCGGCGGCGGCGUGGUGGUCCGCCCAGGCGGCGGCUUGUUGCGACGGCGGCGGCGUCGUCGUCGACGUCGUAGUAGUGCUAAGGGUGGGAUGUAGCGGCGCGUCCGCGUCUCGACCGAGGUCUUCUUGCCGAAGGUGAGGGACCGGUCUGGGUGGAUUCGAACGGUCGAGGUGGUGGCGCGUGGCGCAAGUAGGUGGUAGGUACCGCUUCUAGCCAGGUGGCUUGGUCCGCUCUAGUGCCUCCUCGUACCCGCAAAGGAGUCUCGGGUGUUGGUAAUGGUGGUGUUGAGUUGACCUUGACUUUGGCUUUGGCUUUGACCUACGAUCAUAAGAAUAAGAAAAAGGUAAAGAACAAUAAAAAUGAACUAACUCGCUCGCUCUACCUAAACUCUCCUGCCUACCUACACCAGUACAUUUACGCCUCAAGGGGUUCUUCUGCUAGCUCUCUCUAACCGAGAUCGAGGAUCGAGAUCGAGAUCGAUCGAAAGUUGGGUUCACAGCUCGUACACACACACACACACACACACACACACCACCUCAUAGAAAACCACGAAAAGCAACGUAUGGUACCGGUUGUCGCUACUGAGCCCCCACAGGUGUAGUGUAGAGUAAAACAAACCAGAGUACAACGUAGUGAGUGAAGUAGUACUCUAACCAAGGCCUUAAAACGAGGCGCGUGGGUGGCGGGGGCCGCCACCGGCUGUUGCGUGAUCGAAUCG
rnacentral:rRNA from 1 species